rnacentral:rRNA from 1 species
UACAGAGGGUGCGAGCGUUAAUCGGAAUUACUGGGCGUAAAGCGUGUGUAGGCGGAUAUUUAAGUCGGAUGUGAAAUCCCUGGGCUUAACCUAGGAACUGCAUUCGAUACUGGAUGUCUAGAGUAUGGUAGAGGAAAGUGGAACUCCCGGUGUAGCGGUGAAAUGCGUAGAUAUCGGGAAGAACACCAGUGGCGAAGGCGGCUUUCUGGACCAAUACUGACGUUGAGGCACGAAAGCGUGGGGGGCAAACAGG